rnacentral:tRNA from 1 species
UCCUUGAUGGCUCAGGGGUAAAGAAUCUGCCCGCCAGUGCAGAAGAUGCAAGAGACGCAGGUUCGAUCCCUGUUCCAGGAA